GUGCGCGGAAAUACCAGAUUUAUUUCGAGUGUUGAACAUGAUAUCUCAAGAGUGAGCACAGCGAACGAGUGAGAUAUCAUGUUCAACACGAGAAAUAAAUCUGGUAUUUCCAAGCAUCCAUGCAUGUAUUUUUCUGUUUAUUAUAUAAAGGACAGUCUUUGAAAAUAAUGAUAAAAUUAACCAGGACUUACCCCAAACACUGUUAAUUUUAGAUUAACCAUGAAAUUUUACCCAGCCUGCUUUUAGAGUGCAUGUUACUAUAGAAGCAAAGCGAUAAGAAUAAUAAAGCAUUUUAUAAGUAAGCUAUAUAUACUAAUAUAAACCACAAUGAACCAAAAGCACAUUCCGAAAAAUAAAUAAUGUUAACUCGAAAGUCGAGUAAAAAAAAGACAAAUCUAUUAAAGUUUAAUAUUUCGGUUUUAUUUCAAAACCAACUAACAGGCAAUUGUUUUGUAGUAUAUUUAUACUAAAACAAACACCAGCUUCCAAAGGUUUCAUGUGAAACCAAUGACAAUCUGGCUUAUGUAUGUAUUUCAUAAAAAUAUAUACCUAGAAUUUAAUAAAAAACUAUGUCUAAUAACAUAGAAAUAAAAUAUAUAAUAAUUUUCGAAAUGACUAAAAUUUUAUAUUUCGAACAUCGUUGCUUUUUGGAAUUACUAAUGUAUGCAGAUAAUAUGCUCCAAUGAGAUUAGUGUCCGCAUGCUAGACGAAAGAAUAAUUUCGAUAGAGGAAUAGGUAAUUAAAGUAACUAAAAUAAAAUGUAUAUAUUUAUAAUCGCACACGAUAAAAUCUAUUUAUAUAGUAUACAAAAAAUGAAUAUACGAAGCCUGGGAUUAUGAUAUGUCGAAUCAAGAUAUAAGUUACAUGCAUAAUUUAAUUACAUGUAAGCAUAUAAUUAAAUAAUUAAUACUUAAAGGCCCAUUUACACUUCUGGUGCGAUUUUCUUCUUCUGAUGCAUGUGAAUGAGUAAAUAAGUCAUGAUGUUCUGAGUAUAUGUCUCACUGAUGUACCCUUAUCUGACCUAUCCACUAGUUCACAUCCAUCAGAAGAAGAAAAAAUUUAUCUCGCAUCUUGUAGCAAGUUUGCCAACAUUAAGAAGUCAACAAGUUGUGUUCGCACUGCUUGUCCCAAGUUGUCAACAAGUUUGGAACAAGCUGUUAACAUCUUGUAUAACAACCUUGUUAGUAUUAUCUGACUUGUUGCAAGGUUGUUCCAACAAGUCCAAUACAGUCGUGUUAUAACAAUAUUGUUACAACCUUGUGUCGUCAACCUUGUGACAUUCUUGUUAUAUCAUGACUGUAUCAGACUUGUUAGAACAAGCUUGUAACAAGUCUGAUAAUGCCGCCAAGCUUGUUACAAGUUGUUAACAACUUGUUCCAAACUUGUUACAAUAACUGGGAACAAGCAGUGCGAACACAACUUGUCGAAAGCUUGUGAACAGAUUUGUAACCCCUAUACAACUUGUUUGCAGACCUGUAACAAUUUGUGCGUUUUUACGUGUGUAGUUCAGGCUUGAAGUCCUUUCCUGUACAGCUCAUUUACACUAUUUUAUAGUUAAGUUCGGAACAAACGAGGGUGAGAGUACAUACGAGUUGGCAGGGAAUUCCCUAUCACGUAUCCUAUUUAAGUUAAAACAAAGUUGGGAGCAAUCAUUCUCCUCGUUGACCUGGACUUUACUAGUGAUUAAAAUAAAACGUAAAACGGUUAGGAAUAUCACAUUUUCCAAGCAGGCGUUUCUUAGGAUAUAUAGAGGAAAUGAUUGGCUUCCAUUCUUUGGGCAAAAAUUUCUCCGAAUGGCGCCAUUAUACUCUUGUAUAACCUAGCUCAGUUCCAAGGGAGUAAAAGGGCUUACUUUGCAAAAUACUGUAUGCAAAACUCCAAAAGGUUUAGUAUUUCAACCAAGUGUGGUAAUAUUUUAAGCAUUAAUUGUUAAAGCGGUUCAUCAGUUUGAAUGAAAUAUUUAAUACUUUGAUAAUACGUUAAUAAUGUAAUUUAAAUUGUACAAAGUGUGUAAUAAAUAUCAAAAUAUGUAUUAUUGAAAUGAAUUUGUGGUCUUUUAUGCAUAAGGUAAAACUUCAUCUACCGAUUCAUUUUCGUUUUAAUCUGUUUAUUUAAGUAACAUUUUCUCGAGUUGUUUUGGGUCCAACUUUCAGCUCAAUUUUAAAUUACAUAAUGCCAGUUUCCCAGAUAUCUGUUUCAUCAUAACCUAUAUAUGAUCUUUGUUUCAUCGUCUGUCAGUCAAAAAUACAGGCAAAAUAUCAUUAUAGUCCGUUAACCUAAUACAGAUCUUAAGAACAAGAGACAACAAAAUCCCUUCUCUAUAUACUCGUAGCAUUAAAAUCAAUACCGCGUUCAAAGCUGUUC